AUUGAACGCUGGCGGCAGGCCUAACACAUGCAAGUCGAACGAGUGGCGGACGGGUGAGUAAUGUCUGGGACACUGCCUGAUGGAGGGGGAUAACUACUGGAAACGGUAGCUCAUACCGCAUACCAUCGGAUGAGCCCAGAUGGGAUUAGCUUGUUGGUGGGGUAACGGCUCACCAAGGAGACGAGCCCUAGCUGGUCGGAGAGGAUGACCGUCAACACUGGAACUGAGACAGGGGCCAGACUCCUACGGGAGGCAGCAGUGGGGAAUAUUGCACAAUGGGCGCAAGCCUGAUGCAGCAAUGCCGGGUGUAUGAAGAAGGCCUUCGGGUUGUAAAGUACUUUCAGCGGGGAGGCGUUACCCGCAGAAGAAGCACCGGCUAACUCCGUGCCAGCAGCCGCGGUAAUAC
rnacentral:rRNA from 1 species